UAACUCAGCUGGUAAAGAAUCUGCCUGCAAUGCAGGAGACCCAGGUUCGAUUCCUGG
rnacentral:tRNA from 1 species